GGCUGUAGCUCAGUGGCGAAGCAUCUGUCUUGCAGGCAGAAGGUCCCAGGUUCAACCCUGGAGAGCCG